CCUACGGGAGGCUGCAGUGGGGAAUAUUGGACAAUGGGCGAAAGCCUGAUCCAGCCAUGCCGCGUGUGUGAAGAAGGCCUUCGGGUUGUAAAGCACUUUCAGUGGGGAAGAAAGCCUUGGGGCUAAUACCCUCGAGGAAGGACAUCACCCACAGAAGAAGCACCGGCUAACUCCGUGCCAGCAGCCGCGGUAAUACGGAGGGUGCGAGCGUUAAUCGGAAUUACUGGGCGUAAAGCGCGCGUAGGCGGUCUGAUAAGCCGGUUGUGAAAGCCCCGGGCUCAACCUGGGAACGGCAUCCGGAACUGUCAGGCUAGAGUGCAGGAGAGGAAGGUAGAAUUCCAGGUGUAGCGGUGAAAUGCGUAGAGAUCGGGAGGAAUACCAGUGGCGAAGGCGGCCUUCUGGACUGACACUGACGCUGAGGUGCGAAAGCGUGGGUAGCAAACAGGAUUAGAUACCCUAGUAGUC
rnacentral:rRNA from 1 species